rnacentral:rRNA from 1 species
GAGAAGACUUUAGAUAUGAUCCAGAGUACCACGGGACACGUGAAACCCUGUGGGAAGCAGGAGGGACCACCCUCCAAGGCUAAAUACUACCUAGUGACCGAUAGCGUAUAGUACCGUGAGGGAAAGGUGAAAAGAACCCCGGGAGGGGAGUGAAAUAGAACCUGAAACCCUGCACUUACAAGCUGUGGAAGCACAUUUCUUGUGUGACCGCGUACUUUUUGUAGAACGGGCCAACGAGUUACGUUAAGUAGCAAGGUUAAGCACUUAAGGUGCGGAGCCGUAGCGAAAGCGAGUUUUAACUGAGCGUUCAGUUACUUGACGUAGACCCGAAACCGGGCGACCUACCCAUGAGCAGGAUGAAGCGAAAGUAAAAUUUCGUGGAGGUCCGAACCCACGAGCGUUGAAAAGCUCGGGGAUGACUUGUGGGUAGCGGUGAAAUUCCAAUCGAGCCCGGAGAUAGCUGGUUCUCCCCGAAAUAGCUUUAGGGCUAGCCUCAAGGUGAGAGAUACGGAGGUAGAGCACUGAAUGUCCUAGGGGGUAUUGCACCUACCGAAGACUAUCAAACUCCGAAUGCCGUCAUCUUAUACUUGGGAGUCAGACUGUGGGUGAUAAGAUUCAUAGUCGAAAGGGCAACAGCCCAGAUCGUCAGCUAAGGUCCCUAAAUGUAAGUUAAGUGGUAAAGGAUGUGGGAUUGCACAGACAACCAGGAUGUUGGCUUAGAAGCAGCCACUCAUUCAAAGAGUGCGUAAUAGCUCACUGGUCGAGUGAUCCUGCGCCGAAGAUUUCCGGGGCUAAAACUUACUACCGAAGCUACGGCAUCAGUAAUGAUGGGUAGGGGAGCUUCCCAUACGGGUUGAAGCAUGACCGUAAGGACAUGUGGACAGUAUGGGAGUGAGAAUGUUGGCAUGAGUAGCGAGAUGUGGGUGAGAAUCCCACAGGCCGUAAACCCAAGGUUUCCAGGGGAAGGUUCGUCCGCCCUGGGUUAGUCGGGACCUAAGCUGAGGCCGAAAGGCGUAGGUGAUGGACAACAGGUUGAUAUUCCUGUAC